rnacentral:rRNA from 1 species
GCUUGGCUGUUAACCUAAGGUAGCAUAAACACACCCCUACUCGCCAGAGAACUACAAGUGAAAAACUUAAAACUCCAAGGACUUGGCGGUGCCCCACAUCAGCCUAGAGGAGCCUGUCCUAUAAUCGAUACUCCACGCUCUACCCAACCACCUUUUGCCCUCAGCCUAUAUACCGCCGUCGUCAACCCACCCUAUGAAAGAAGCACAGUGGGUAAAACAGUUACCAACUAGCACGUCAGGUCAAGGUGUAGCACAUAGGGUGGGAGAGAUGGGCUACAUUUUCUAUUUCAGAAAACACGAACAGCUCAAUGAAACUUGGACUAAAAGGCGGAUUUAGAAGUCAGAUAAACCAGCAUUUUUAUCUUAAACUCGCUCUGGGGCGCGCACACACCGC